GCCUUCAUAGUGUAGUGGUCAGCACGCUUGACAGGCAUUUGAGAUGUCCGUGGUUCGAGUCCCGGCGAGGACA
rnacentral:tRNA from 1 species